UACAGAGGGUGCGAGCGUUGUCCGGAAUCACUGGGCGUAAAGGGCGCGUAGGCGGCUUGGUAAGGCUGCGGUGAAAGCCCGGGGCUCAACCCCGGGUCGGCCGUGGCAACUGCUGAGCUGGAGCACUGUAGAGGCAGGUGGAAUUCCUGGUGUAGCGGUGAAAUGCGCAGAUAUCAGGAGGAACACCGGUGGCGAAGGCAGGUCUCUGGGCCACUACUGACGCUGAGAAGCGAAAGCAUGGGGAGCGAACAGG
rnacentral:rRNA from 1 species